CCUGUUUUAUCAAAAACAUGUCUUUUAGUUUUUAUUUAAAGUCUGACCUGCUCAAUGAUUUUUUAAAUAGCCGCAGUAUUUUGACUGUGCUAAGGUAGCAUAAUAAUUAGUCUUUUAAUUGAGGUCUGGAAUGAAUGGUUUGACGAAAAAAAAUCUUUAUUAGUUUAAUUUUUUUUGAAUUUAUUUUUUUAGUUAAAAUACUAAAUUGUUAAAGAGGGACGAUAAGACCCCAUAGAUCUUUAUAAUUUUAUUUUAAUUUUUUUUUUUGAUGUAUUUUUUUAUUAAAAUAAAUUUAUUUUGCUGGGGUGGUAACUAAAAAUUUAAACUUUAGUUUAUUUUUACAUUUAUUUAUGGUUAUUUUGAUCUAAGAAUUUUUGAUUACAAGAAUUAGAUACCUUGGGGAUAACAGCGUUAUUUAUUUGGAGAGUUCAAAUCGAUAAAUAAGUUUGCGACCUCGAUGUUGGAUUAAAAUUAAUUUAUGGGGUAGUUUUUAUAAGAUUAGGUCUGUUC
rnacentral:rRNA from 1 species